UAUAGGUUUGGUCCCAGCCUUCCUGUUAACUUUCAAUAGACUUAUACAUGCAAGCAUCCACGCCCCGGUGAGUAACGCCCUUCGAAUCACACAGGACUAAAAGGAGCAGGUAUCAAGCACACACUCUUGUAGCUCACAACGCCUUGCUUAACCACACCCCCACGGGAGACAGCAGUAACAAAAAUUAAGCCAUAAACGAAAGUUUGACUAAGCCAUAUUGACUAGGGUUGGUAAAUCUCGUGCCAGCCACCGCGGUCAUACGAUUGACCCAAGCUAACAGGAGUACGGCGUAAAGCGUGUUAAAGCAUCAUACUAAAUAGAGUUAAAUUUUAAUUAAACUGUAAAAAGCCAUAAUUAUAACAAAAAUAAAUGACGAAAGUAACCCUGCAAUAGCUGAUACACCAUAGCUAAGACCCAAACUGGGAUUAGAUACCCCACUAUGCUUAGCCCUAAACACAAAUAAUUAU
rnacentral:rRNA from 1 species